GAAGAAGAAGAAAGAGAGAGAGAAAAAACGAAGAAAAGAAAGAAAGCAUACCUGAGCAACGAGAAAACGAUCAUCGCUACGAUCAACAUGGCGAAGGACGUGGAAUAUCCAAUUUGGGACACGAUCCUGACGAUAGGCAACCAUCUCUGACGAAAGUUCAAUUU